rnacentral:rRNA from 1 species
UACGAAGGGGGCUAGCGUUGCUCGGAAUCACUGGGCGUAAAGCGCACGUAGGCGGAUUGUUAAGUCAGGGGUGAAAUCCUGGAGCUCAACUCCAGAACUGCCUUUGAUACUGGCAAUCUCGAGUCCGGGAGAGGUGAGUGGAACUGCGAGUGUAGAGGUGAAAUUCGUAGAUAUUCGCAAGAACACCAGUGGCGAAGGCGGCUCACUGGCCCGGUACUGACGCUGAGGUGCGAAAGC